rnacentral:rRNA from 1 species
GUGCCAGCCGCCGCGGUAAUACGGAGGGUGCAAGCGUUAAUCGGAAUUACUGGGCGUAAAGCGCACGCAGGCGGUCUGUCAAGUCGGAUGUGAAAUCCCCGGGCUCAACCUGGGAACUGCAUUCGAAACUGGCAGGCUGGAGUCUUGUAGAGGGGGGUAGAAUUCCAGGUGUAGCGGUGAAAUGCGUAGAGAUCUGGAGGAAUACCGGUGGCGAAGGCGGCCCCCUGGACAAAGACUGACGCUCAGGUGCGAAAGCGUGGGGAGCAAACAGGAUUAGAUACCCUGGUAGUCCACGCUGUAAACGAUGUCGACUUGGAGGUUGUUCCCUUGAGGAGUGGCUUCCGGAGCUAACGCGUUAAGUCGACCGCCUGGGGAGUACGACCGCAAGGUUAAAACUCAAAUGAAUUGACGGGGGCCCGCACAAGCGGUGGAGCAUGUGGUUUAAUUCGAUGCAACGCGAAGAACCUUACCUACUCUUGACAUCCAGAGAACUUAGCAGAGAUGCUUUGGUGCCUUCGGGAACUCUGAGACAGGUGCUGCAUGGCUGUCGUCAGCUCGUGUUGUGAAAUGUUGGGUUAAGUCCCGCAACGAGCGCAACCCUUAUCCUUUGUUGCCAGCGAUUAGGUCGGGAACUCAAAGGAGACUGCCAGUGAUAAACUGGAGGAAGGUGGGGAUGACGUCAAGUCAUCAUAGCCCUUACGAGUAGGGCUACACACGUGCUACAAUGGCAUAUACAAAGAGAAGCGACCUCGCGAGAGCAAGCGGACCUCAUAAAGUAUGUCGUAGUCCGGAUUGGAGUCUGCAACUCGACUCCAUGAAGUCGGAAUCGCUAGUAAUCGUGGAUCAGAAUGCCACGGUGAAUACGUUCCCGGGCCUUGUAC